rnacentral:rRNA from 1 species
ACACGACUACAUUAGAUACCCGGGUAGUCCUAGCCGUAAACGAUACUCGCUAGGUGUCGGCCACGGUGCGACCGUUGUCGGUGCCGUAGGGAAGCCGUGAAGCGAGCCACCUGGGAAGUACGGCCGCAAGGCUGAAACUUAAAGGAAUUGGCGGGGGAGCACCACAACGGGUGGAGCUUGCGGUUUAAUUGGAUUCAACGCCGGAAAUCUUACCGGGAGCGACGGUUACAUGAAGGCCAGGCUGAUGACCUUGCCUGAUUUCCG